rnacentral:lncRNA from 1 species
CUGGGUGCUCAAAGGAUAAACAGCUGCCUGUUGGCCACAUUAUGUUCUCUUUCCUCCCAGGUACUCAUUGCACUUGUACACAUUGUCGGAGUGCCCUCCUCCUCCUGGAGUUUCACGGUCAUGCCUCAGCUGGGGAAGACUGCGAGGGAGUCUUUGGGAAGCUGAAGGAAGUCCUGAAAGAACACAAGGGCAAGAAUUCCUACCAGAAGUGUUGUGAAAUGAGUGAAACCUGGAGUUCAAAGACCUUGGCAGCAAGAAUGGAGGAGUGUGCUGAAUUCGGCAGGAUUUUUGAAACAGAACAUGGAGGCAAGUUUUAUAGAAACCUUGUGUCACUUAGACGGGGCUUUUCAAAGAAAGCCAGCCUCUUGACUUUCCGAAUUAUUGCUCCAGAGGUGGGAACAAAGAACCAGAUGUGUCCUAAAAGGAAGAACAUUCGUAAUUUAACAAUUUCUCUGCAUAAUUCAUCAUUCUGAGUGUUUCAGCUCUUUCUUCUACUGUUCCCUCCACUCCCCGACACUUUAAGGGGAAAACCGAAAGAGUUCUGAUAGUUCUUCUGGUAAAAAUAACUAGGAGUACUUGUGGCACAUUAGAGACUAACACAUUUAUUUAAGCAUAAGCUUUUGUGGGCUAGAACCCAUUUCAUUGGAUGCAUGCAGUGGA